GCCGGGAUGGCGGAAUGGCAGACGCGCUAGCCUUAGGAGCUAGUAGGGAAACCUGUGGAGGUUCGAAUCCUCUUCCCGGCA
rnacentral:tRNA from 4 species